rnacentral:rRNA from 1 species
UACAGGGGGGGCAAGCGUUGUUCGGAAUUACUGGGCGUAAAGGGCUCGUAGGCGGCCAACUAAGUCCGACGUGAAAUCCCAAAGCUUAACUUUGGAACUGCGUCGGAUACUGGAUGGCUUGAAUUCGGGAGAGGGAUGCAGAAUUCCAGGUGUAGCGGUGAAAUGCGUAGAUAUCUGGAGGAACACCGGUGGCGAAGGCGACGUCCUGGACCGGCAUUGACGCUGAGGCGCGAAAGCCAGGGGAGCAAACGGG